AGAACCUUCGGGUUAGUGGCGGACGGGUGAGUAACGCGUGAGAAUCUGCCCUCAGGAGGGGGAUAACGGCUGGAAACGGCCGCUAAUACCCCAUAUGCCGAGAGGUGAAAUGAAUUUCGCCUGAGGAUGAGCUCGCGUCUGAUUAGCUAGUUGGUGUGGUAAAGGCUCACCAAGGCAUCGAUCAGUAGCUGGUCUGAGAGGAUGAUCAGCCACACUGGGACUGAGACACGGCCCACACUCCUACGGGAGGCAGCAGUGGGGAAUUUUCCGCAAUGGGCGCAAGCCUGACGGAUCAACGCCGCGUGAGGGAUGAAGGCCUCUGGGCUGUAAACCUCUUUUAUCAAGGAAGAAGAUCUGACGGUACUUGAUGAAUAAACCACGGCUAAUUCCGUGCCACCAGCCGCGGUAAUACGGGAGUGGCAAGCGUUAUCCGGAAUUAUUGGGCGUAAAGCGUCCGCAGGCGGGCCAACAAGUCUGCUGUUAAAAAGUGGAGCUUAACUCCAUCAUGGCAGUGGAAACUGUUGGCCUAAAAUGGGGUAGGGGCAGAAGGAAUUCCCGGUGUUACGGUGAAAUGCGUAAAUAUCUUGGAAAAAACCAAUGGCGAAAGCGCUCUGCUGGGCCAUCACUGAACCUCAUGGAACGAAAGCCAGGGGGAGGAAAGGGAUUAAAAAACCCUGGUGGUCCUGGCCGGAAACGAAGAAAAACUAAGGGUCGGGGGAAAUAAACCCCUUCGGGUCGUACCAACGCGUUUAAUGUUCCCCCUGGGGA
rnacentral:rRNA from 1 species